rnacentral:misc_RNA from 1 species
GAUGAAGAACGUAGCGAAAUGCAAUAAGUAAUGUGAAUUGCAGAAUUCAGUGAAUCAUCGAAUCUUUGAACGCACAUUGCGCCCGCCAGUAUUCUGGCGGGCAUGCCUGUUCGAGCGUCAUUACAACCCUCAGGCCCCCGGGCCUGGCGUUGGGGAUCGGCGGAGCCCCCCGUGGGCACACGCCGUCCCCCAAAUGCAGUGGCGGUCCCGCCGCAGCUUCCAUCGCGUAGUAGCUAACACCUCGCGACUGGAGAGCGGCGCGGCCACGCCGUAAAACACCCAACUCUUCUGAAGUUGACCUCGAAUCAGGUAGGAAUACCCGCUGAACUUAAGCAUAUCAAUAAGCGGAGGA